GGUUGAUCCUGCCAGUAGUCAUAUGCUUGUCUCAAAGAUUAAGCCAUGCAUGUCUCAGUACAAGCCAAAUUAAGGUGAAACCGCGAAAGGCUCAUUAAAUCAGUUAUGGUUCCUUAGAUCGUACCCACAAUUACUUGGAUAACUGUGGUAAUUCUAGAGCUAAUACAUGCAAACAGAGCUCCGACCGGAGACGGAAGGAGUGCUUUUAUUAGAUCAAAACCAAUCGGUGGCGGGUUCGCUCGUCAUCGUACAACUUGGUGACUCUGAAUAACUUUACGCUGAUCGCACGGUCAUCGCACCGGCGACGCAUCUUUCAAAUGUCUGCCUUAUCAACUGUCGAUGGUAGGUUCUGCGCCUACCAUGGUUGUAACGGGUAACGGGGAAUCAGGGUUCGAUUCCGGAGAGGGAGCCUGAGAAACGGCUACCACAUCCAAGGAAGGCAGCAGGCGCGCAAAUUACCCACUCCCGGCACGGGGAGGUAGUGACGAAAAAUAACGAUACGGGACUCAUCCGAGGCCCCGUAAUCGGAAUGAGUACACUCUAAACCCUUUAACGAGGAUCAAUUGGAGGGCAAGUCUGGUGCCAGCAGCCGCGGUAAUUCCAGCUCCAAUAGCGUAUAUUAA
rnacentral:rRNA from 1 species